rnacentral:rRNA from 1 species
CGUUAGCGGCGGACGGGUGAGUAACACGUGGGUAACCUACCUAUAAGACUGGGAUAACUUCGGGAAACCGGAGCUAAUACCGGAUAAUAUUUCGAACCGCAUGGUUCGAUAGUGAAAGAUGGUUUUGCUAUCACUUAUAGAUGGACCUGCGCCGUAUUAGCUAGUUGGUAAGGUAACGGCUUACCAAGGCGACGAUACGUAGCCGACCUGAGAGGGUGAUCGGCCACACUGGAACUGAGACACGGUCCAGACUCCUACGGGAGGCAGCAGAC